rnacentral:rRNA from 1 species
AUGAGCGCCGUGUGCUUUUUGUUGGCGUGCUUGGCGGCAGCCCUGCAGCCAACGUCGGCCGCCGAGACUGGAAGGGGUGAGAUCUUGCAUAUCCCGUCCGCCGCCGACCUGGCUCGGGCUCGCUGCCCUUCCAGAUGCGGUCGUGUUCCCAUUCACUACCCGUUCGGCAUAGGGCCUGGCUGCUUCCGGCAAGGCUUCGAGCUCACCUGCAACAACACCGCUGGUCAUAAGAGGCUCUUUCUGGCCAACAGUACCAUUGAGGUCCUUGACUUGUAUCCCAGAGGAAAUGAACUUCGAGUCUCUCCUAUCCACUUCAACGUCACCAUGAAACCAGGUAUGGACGACACCUAUAACAUGUCAUGGGAGGCCCCUGUUAAAGGUCUUAUGGCCUCUGAAGAAACUAGCUUGUUCGUUGUUGGUUGCGGUGUGGGUGUCUACUUGUUCGGCCGUGAUACCAACAAUCCCAUAGGUUAUUGCGUGAGUAUUUGCCUAGACGACAAAGAGGCCAUGAAGGAGGCAAAUGCAAACCACUAUAACGAUGUUGGGAUGGGUUGUUGUUCCAUUUAUUUGCAGCAGGACGUGCCAGCAUUUGGGUUCACAGUUGACCGCCUCAAAGGCGUCUCAGCACUAUCAAGAGAACGUCAAGGGCUCUCUAAUACUAUCAAAGUUUUCCUGGCGGGGGAUUACAGUUUUAAUGUUACCGACAUCUAUUCAAGUCGGGUAGACAAAAGAAACAUUGGUGUGGCAUUACUUGCAAUAGCCAUCACGGAUCAACCAAGAUGUCAAAGUGCUAAGAAGAAAAAGUCAAGCUAUGCUUGUGGCGAUAACAGCGAUUGCGUGGAUGUGCCAUCUGGAGGCUACUCUUGUCGUUGCCGCACUGGCACAAACGACAACAACCCAUACCUUAUGGAUGGUUGUCAACAACCAGCGCAUUACAAUCCCAAUCAUAAAGGAGGUUGCACCCAAUUUUGCGGGAACACAAGCAUUCCCUUCCCUUUUGGGCUUGAAAAUGGUUGCUAUGCUACUGAAAAGUUUCGACUUAACUGUACAUCAGAAAACAUUACAAUUCUUGAUCAAAGGGGCAAAUACAUUGUGGCAAACAUUUCAGUUAAUGAAGGAUAUCUUAGUGUUAGAGAAACACAAAACAACUCAAAGUAUGGCGAAGAAGAGCUCACGGUGCUAUUUGAACCAGACGAGGGGGGCUGGGAAUUAGGACUUAUGCCUGGAGAAGGCUUUUAUUUAUCUGAAGAAUACGGUAUGAAGAUGUGGUGGUCUAUCGAUAAUUUAACUUGUCCGGUUGCUAUGAGCAAGCAAAGAAGUGCUAUGUACGCAUGCCGCAGUGUCAAUAGUAGUUGCAUUCCUGUCACCCGCGGCCGCAGGAAUGGGACGAUGCAGCUCGGCUAUCGUUGUCAGUGCUCUCAAGGUUUUGAUGGAAAUCCAUACAUACCAAAUGGCUGCAAAGAUGUCAAUGAGUGUUUGUUGAUGCAUAUUUGCAAUGGCCCUUGCCUAAAUUAUCCUGGAGGCUAUAGCUGCAAUGAGUGCACCCAUGGAAAAGAGUUUGAUCCAAUAAAUCUCAAAUGUGUCAUGUCAACAAAGAGACGCAAUCUUCUCUUAGGUAUCGCAAUUGGAAUUAGUUGUGGACUUGGUGCCAUUAUUCUUGUGCUAGGUGCAACAGUACUCAUCAGCAAGUGGAAGAGAGGCAUGCAAAAGAGAAUUCGAAGGACAUACUUCAAGAAAAAUCAAGGCCUACUCUUGGAACAACUAAUAUUAGAUGAAAGUGCCACAGAUAAAACAAAGAUAUUCUCCUUGGAGGAAUUAGAUAAAGCAACCAAUAACUUUGAUGCCAGUCGUAUUCUUGGCCGUGGAGGACAUGGGACAGUUUACAAAGGGAUUUUAUCUGAUCAACGUGUAGUGGCCAUAAAAAAGUCUAAGCUGGUGGAGCAAACUGAGAUUGACCAGUUUAUCAACGAGGUUGCCAUCCUGUCACAAAUCAUUCAUCGGAAUGUAGUCAAGCUUUUUGGUUGUUGUCUCGAAACAGAAGUGCCUUUGCUAGUUUAUGAGUUCAUAUCCAAUGGCACACUAUAUGAUCUUCUUCACAUUGACGUAAGUGUUAAAUGUUUACUUUUAUGGGGUGAUCGCAUUAGGAUUGCUGCAGAAGCUGCAGGAGCUCUUGCUUAUCUCCACUCAGCUGCUGCGAUACCAAUUUUCCAUAGAGAUGUGAAAUCCUCCAAUAUACUUCUAGAUGACAACUUUACUACCAAGGUUUCUGACUUUGGUGCUUCGAGGUCUUUAUCACUUGAUCAGACACAUGUAGUGACAAUUGUACAAGGAACUUUUGGUUACUUAGACCCCGAGUACUACCACACCGGGGAGCUGAGUGAGAAGAGUGAUGUUUAUAGCUUUGGAAUUAUACUAGUGGAGCUUCUAAUGAGAAAGAAGCCAAUUUUUAUUAAUGAACAAGGUAUAAAACAAAGCUUGGCUCAUUACUUCGUGGAAGGAUCUCAGCAGGGAGUCCUCAUGGAAAUAAUGGAUCCCCAAGUUGUCGAAGAAGCGAACCAGAAUGAAAUUGAUGACAUUGCCUCAGUUGCGGAAGCAUGCUUGAAAACCAAAGGAAAAGAAAGACCUACCAUGAAAGAGGUAGAAAUGAAGUUGCAACUCCUAAAAACUAGAAGAUUAAGGAGUCAACUUCCUCCCAUAAAUGAUGGAGAGAUCGAGUCACUUGGGUGCCUAAAUGGCGCUAGCUCUCAUGCACAGAGCAACAACAUUGUCAGUAAUGUUAGCUUAACACCUACAUGCAGCUCCGGAAAGUACAGUCUGGAGCAAGAGUUUUUGAACUCAGCCAGCUUGCCACGCUAG